rnacentral:rRNA from 1 species
GACGAACGCUGGCGGCGUGCCUAACACAUGCAAGUAGAACGCUGAAGAGAGGCGCUUGCUCUUCUUGGGUGAGUUGCGCACGGGUGAGUAACGCGAAGGUAACCUGCCUUGUAGCGGGGGAUAACUAUUGGAAACGAUAUCUAAUACCGCAUGACAAUGGGUGACACGUGUCCUUUAUUAAAAAGGGGCAAUUGUUCCACGACAAGAUGGACCUGCGUUGUAUUAGCUAGGAGGUGAGGUAAAGGCUCAUCUAGGAGUCGAUACAUAGCCGACCUGAGAGGGUGGGCAGCCCCCCUGGGAGUGGGACACGGCCCAGAGUCCCACGGGAAGGAGCGGGAGGGAAACUUCGGACAUGGGGGCAACCCUGACCGCGCCACGCCGCGGGAGUGAAGAAAGUUGUCGGAUCGUAAAGACCUGUUGUCAGUCAAGAACGGGUGUGAGAGUGGAACGUUCACACUGUGACGGUAGCUUACCAGAAAGCGACGGCUAACUACGUG